UAAUACGUAGGUGACGAGCGUUAUCCGGAUUUACUGGGCGUAAAGCGCUUGUAGGUGGCUUUGUAAGUUGGAUGUGAAAACUCUGGGCUUAACCCAGAGAGGCCGUCCAAUACUGCAGGGCUGGAGGAUGUCAGAGGAAGGUGGAAUUCCUGGUGUAGUAGUGAAAUGCGUAGAUAUCAGGAGGAACACCCGUGGCGAAGGCGGCCUUCUGGGGCAUUCCUGACACUGAGAAGCGAAAGCUAGGGGAGCAAACAGG
rnacentral:rRNA from 1 species